UAAAACAAAGGCUUCCAUUUUCCAUUUUUCUUACCAAAACCGUAACACCCCCACCAAGAAGAAGACUCUAGUUUCUUUUGAUUCUUGUACUUUUUCAAAACUACAACAAGAUGUGACGGAAAGUCAACUAUUGACGGAUCAAAUUGAAGGAGCAUCGGUUGGAAUAGACCGACUGGCUAUUAGUGGAUCAUCGUGGCGUAUUUAAUUAUUUAUGGAGCGACAGUCUGAAUAUUGCCUGUGUCUGGACGAGACUUCAUCUUUUUGAUUCAUGAAGUCUUCGUUUUGCGUAUAUGGUAUUUGGUCUUAUCUUGAUCUGUAGAGCUGCAGUAGAAUAGAUAGACAGACGCCUUAGCAUGUCAGUAUUUGCGAUGUUUGC